rnacentral:rRNA from 1 species
AUUGAACGCUGGCGGCAGGCCUAACACAUGUAAGUCGAACGAGUGGCGGACGGGUGAGUAAUGUCUGGGAAACUGUUUGAUGGAGGGGGAUAACUACUGGAAACGGUAGCUAAUACCGCUUACCAUCAGAUGUGCCCAGAUGGGCUUAGCUAGGUGGUGGGGUAACGGCUCACCAAGGCGACGAUCCCUAGCUGGUGUGAGAGGCUGACCAGCCAACUUGGAACUGAGACACGUCCCCGACUCCUACGGGAGGAAGCAGUGGGGAAUAUUGCACAAGGGGCGCAGGCCUGAUGCAGCCAUGCCGCGUAUAUGAAGAAGGCCUUCGGGUUGUAAAGUACUUUCAGCGGGUAGGCGUUACCCGCAGAAGAAGCACCGGCUAACUCCGUGCCAGCAGCCGCGGUAAUAC